GAGCGGAUGACGGGAGCUUGCUCCUUGAUUCAGCGGCGGACGGGUGAGUAAUGCCUAGGAAUCUGCCUGGUAGUGGGGGACAACGUUUCGAAAGGAACGCUAAUACCGCAUACGUCCUACGGGAGAAAGCAGGGGACCUUUGGGCCUUGCGCUAUCAGAUGAGCCUAGGUCGGAUUAGCUAGUUGGUGGGGUAAUGGCUCACCAAGGCGACGAUCCGUAACUGGUCUGAGAGGAUGAUCAGUCACACUGGAACUGAGACACGGUCCAGACUCCUACGGGAGGCAGCAGUGGGGAAUAUUGAACAAUGGGCGAAAGCCUGAUCCAGCCAUGCCGCGUGUGUGAAGAAGGUCUUCGGAUUGUAAAGCACUUUAAGUUGGGAGGAAGGGCAGUAAGUUAAUACCUUGCUGUUUUGACGUUACCGACAGAAUAAGCACCGGCUAAUUCUGUG
rnacentral:rRNA from 1 species